UACGUAGGGUGCAAGCGUUAAUCGGAAUUACUGGGCGUAAAGCGUGCGCAGGCGGUUCGGAAAGACAGAUGUGAAAUCCCAGGGCUUAACCUUGGAACUGCAUUUUUAACUGCUGGGCUAGAGUAUGUCAGAGGGGGGUAGAAUUCCACGUGUAGCAGUGAAAUGCGUAGAGAUGUGGAGGAAUACCGAUGGCGAAGGCAGCCCCCUGGGAUAAUACUGACGCUCAUGCACGAAAGCGUGGGGAGCAAACAGG
rnacentral:rRNA from 1 species